rnacentral:rRNA from 1 species
AAGCUCGUAGUUGAAUUUCGGGUUAGUAGGCUGGUUAUAUGGAACUCGCGCUCUGCAGGUUUAUGUAACUGGUCUUACUAAUUCCUCCUUCCUGAUGAACUGUAGUGCCAUUAAAAAGUGUUGCAGGGAAUCUGGACUGUUACUUUGAAAAAAUUAGAGUGUUUAAAGCAGGCUAACGCUUGAAUACAUUAGCAUGGAAUAAUGAAAUAGGACGUUCGAUCCUAUUGUUGGUUUCUAGGAUUGACGUAAUGAUUAAUAGGGAUAGUUGGG